GAUUAAGUUAUUAAGGGCGCACGGUGGAUGCCUUGGCACUAGAAGCCGAUGAAGGACGUUACUAACGACGAUAUGCUUUGGGGAGCUGUAAGUAAGCUUUGAUCCAGA
rnacentral:rRNA from 1 species